rnacentral:rRNA from 1 species
GACGAACGCUGGCGGCGUGCUUAACACAUGCAAGUCGAGCGGUAAGGCCCUUUCGGGGGUACACGAGCGGCGAACGGGUGAGUAACACGUGGGUGACCUGCCUCUAGCUCUGGGAUAAGCCUGGGAAGCUGGGCCCUAAUACCGGAUAUGACCUCGCGGUGCAUGUUGCGGGGUGGAAAGCCUUGUGCGGCUAGGGAUGGGCCCGCGGCCUAUCAGCUUGUUGGUGGGGUGAGGCCUACCAAGGCGACGACGGGUAGCCGGCCUGAGAGGGCGACCGGCCACACUGGGACUGAGACACGGCCCAGACUCCUACGGGAGGCAGCAGUGGGGAAUCUUGCGCAAUGGGCGAAAGCCUGACGCAGCGACGCCGCGUGAGGGAUGACGGCCUCGGUU